UACGAAGGGGGCUAGCGUUGUUCGGAAUUACUGGGCGUAAAGCGCACGUAGGCGGACUACUAAGUCAGGGGUGAAAUCCCGGGGCUCAACCCCGGAACUGCCUUUGAUACUGGUAGUCUCGAGUCCGGAAGAGGUGAGUGGAAUUCCGAGUGUAGAGGUGAAAUUCGUAGAUAUUCGGAGGAACACCAGUGGCGAAGGCGGCUUACUGGUCCGGUACUGACGCUGAGGUGCGAAAGCGUGGGGAGCAAACAGG
rnacentral:rRNA from 1 species